rnacentral:piRNA from 1 species
UUCCUGUGAGAUGGGUGACAAGGAAACGCUU